UUUUCUCAUAUUAUGUUUAAUAAAUUACUUUUAAUUGAACACGUCCUCUGCUCAAGUGGAAUUUAUUAUUGAACCUGUGUCUUGCUUAUUUGCUUGUAGCUAACUGCCAAUUUAAUAAUUUCCAGGGGUGAAAUUCCCCUGGUGGCGUUGUCGAGGCAACUUACGGCACCACCCUGCCACACUGACAAAUAGAGCUACUGCUCAGAAUGACCAACACAAUGUGUACAUGUGCAGAGCAAAGGACACGCCCGUAAUUUUAAGCUACCUGGAAUCUUCAUGGUGGAAAGAGUGGUCUUCUACAGAUGGGGAACUUUUUUAUGGACAGAGGAAGGCUGUGAGGACAAAGGCAGAGUGCAAUACCCUGUUCUGCGAAUUCCAUAGCAGCCCUAUUGGGAUUUUUAAAACAAGAAAUGCUUUGUCCAGUCAAUUCUACUGGCUAGGAAUCUCUACUGACAUUGAGAAAUGGGUCAGUGAAUGUGAUCAGUGCCAAAGGGUUGUAAAACCACAUGUGAUUGAUGCUAAACUGGAAAGUAUUAAGAUUAACAGCUCUCUUUGUGACCUGCUGUCUAUAAAACGGAGUGUGACAGCUGCUUAUCACCCUCUGGACCAUACACUAUUCAUAACAUAUCAGGGAAGAUGGUGUCACUGACUAACCAGGACGGACAUUUACUGAAAACCACAUACAACAUAAAUUAAAUAAAACCAUACAAGAGAAGCCUCUUAAAGGAAGACACCACAGAAACGAUACAACUCAAAGCCAGAGACCAAAUGUCAGAUGGGCCUUGUAGACCAUCAGUUAUCAAAUGGACUCAAUCUAAAGUAAGCCAGAGGACAACAGAGGAAGUUGGAAGGAAAAGAGAUGCAACCAGAAAAGAAAAAGUAGUUCAGGAAAACAGAGGAAAUUGGAAGGGAAAGAAAUAAAAGAAACCGUACUCUUUAAUAUACAGAGACCCAACGAUUCCCCCAUUUGUGGUUGUGUCCAUACAACACAGGAGGGCAUUGGAUUCUUGUGAUUGUGAAAUGUCAGGAAAGGCCCUUCUUGUUAUUGAGCCCUUAAGGAAUGAGCAGAGAUACAGCAGGAGAAUCUUGAGAAACUGGAGACUUCUGCAUAGACUGCAACAUGAUCAACCCUGACACAGAAAGUGACAAUGUGUAGUGCAACAUUUGUCUCCGAUGGGCACAUCAUGACUGUCUGAAAUCUGUUCCUGCAGAUGGAAACGAAAAUUACAUUUGGUUAAAAUGCAGAGAAUAGAGAAAAAAAUAGUUGCAUUUCCUAAAGAAAAUGCAUGUGCUUGUGAGAUAGCAAAUAAUAAUAAAAAUAAGUGAUAAAUGUGUUUGUGUGUACGUGUUGGGUGCUCAAUAUAAGCUACUCUACUUUUGAACAUAAUCAUAAUAGUCCAUUCUGAUCGAUAUU